rnacentral:rRNA from 1 species
GGUCAAGCUACUAAGAGCACUAGAUGGAUGCCUAGGCAUUGACAGGCGAUGAAGGACGUGAUAAGCUGCGAUAAGCCGCGGGUAGCUGCAAACAAGCUUUGAUCCGCGGAUUUCCGAAUGGAGCAAUCCGGCAGAGGUAAUGCUCUGUCACCUGAAACUGAAUCCAUAGGUUUCAGGAGCGAUACUCAGGGAAGUGAAACAUCUCAGUACCUGAAGGAGAAGAAAUCAAUCGAGAUUCCGUAAGUAGUGGCGAACGAAAGCGGAAGAGGCUAAACCAGUCGGUUUACCGGCUGGGGUUGCGGGACCCUAAUACGACGAGCGGGAGUUAGCUGAACGGUCUGGAAAGUCCGAUCAUAGAAGGUGAAAAUCCUGUAAGCGAAAACCGAAGCGAGUCCAGGGGUAUCCCAAGUAGGACGUCACACGUGAAACGACGCCUGAAUCCGGGGAGACCACUCUCCAAGCCUAAAUACUAGUCAAUGACCGAUAGUUAACAAGUACCGCGAGGGAAAGGUGAAAAAGCACCCUUAUGAAGGGAGUUAAAAGUACCUGAAAUCCAGUGCUUACAAAGUGUGGGAGCGCCGCAAGGUGUGACCGCAUGCCUUUUGCAUAAUGAGCUUGCGACUUACGUUCAGCAGCGAGGUUAAGCCAGUAGGCGGAGCCGAAGCGAAAGCGAGUGUGAACAGCGCGCUAAGUUGCUGGAAGUAGACCCGAAGCUGAGUGAUCUAUCCAUGUCCAGGUUGAAUCUUCGGUAACACGAAGUGGAGGACCGAACCGGUUCAUGUUGAAAAAUGUUCGGAUGAGGUGUGGAUAGGAGCGAAAGACCAAUCAAACUCAGUGAUAGCUGGUUCUCUUCGAAAUAUCUUGAGGGAUAGCCUUGUGCAUAACUACGUGCCGGGGGUAGAGCUCUGAUUGUUCGAGGGUCCUUUACCUGGAUACCAACAACUGUCAAACUCCAAAUACCGGACACGCCUAUCACAGGAGUCAGACUGCGGGGGAUAAGCUUCGUAGUCGAGAGGGCAACAGCCCAGAUCGCCGGCUAAGGUCCCUAAUUCAAGCUAAGUGGAUCGAAGGAUGUGGAGUUGCGUAAACAGUCAGGAUGUUGGCUCAGAGGCAGCCAUCAUUUAAAGAUCGCGUAAUAGCGCACUGAUCGAGUGAUUCCGCGCCGAAGAUAAUCGGGACUAAGCUUGAAACCGAAGCCGCGAAUAGUACCUUUUGGUAUUAUGGUAGAAGAGCGUUGUAUGAGGAUCGAAGCCGAUUCGUAAGAUGAGGUGGACUUCAUACAAGUGACCAUGCAAGCAUGAGUAGCGAAAAACCGGAUGAGAAUUCCGGUCACCGAAAACCUAAGGUUUCCCGGGGAAGGUUCGUCCGCCCGGGGUUAGUCGGAUCCUAAGGUCAGGCCGAAAGGCGUAGCCGAUGGACAACAGGUUAAUAAUCCUGUACCACCUUGUUUGAGUGAUGGAGGGACGCAGAAAGCCAGGCGGGCCAACUGCUGAAUAUGUUGGUCGAAGCCCGUAGGGAGUGCUGUUGGCAAAUCCGCAGCACACAUAUCCUGAGAGGUGCAAGGUAUCUGGAACGCAAGUUUCGGAGAAUCCGCUGUGACUACGCUGACGAGAAAAGCUUCUAAACUUUGACGACGAGGUGUCCGUACCGUAAACCGACACAGGUGGGUGAGGCGAGUAGCCUAAGGUGCGCGAGAGAAACCAACGUUAAGGA